UCUAGUGAAUAUAUCAUCAUAAUGGAUGAUUAGGAUUCGGUUUGGUGUAUUCAGUUUAGGGUGAAAGUGUAUAGUUAUAAAAAAAAGUUAUCCGUCUUUUUAUCAUACUCAUAAUUGAGU
rnacentral:rRNA from 1 species